rnacentral:rRNA from 1 species
UCGAGAAUUUUUCACAAUGGGCGAAAGCCUGAUGGAGCGACGCCGCGUGAGGGAUGAAGGGCUUCGGCCUGUAAACCUCUGUCAUUCGUGAUCAAACCUUUUCAGUUAACACCUGAAGAGUUGAUAGUAACGAAAGAGGAAGAGACGGCUAACUCUGUGCCAGCAGCCGCGGUAAUACAGAGGUCUCAAGCGUUGUUCGGAUUCACUGGGCGUAAAGGGUGCGUAGGCUGCUUAAGAAGUCUGAUGUGAAAGUUUGCAGCUCAACUGCAAAAGCGCAUUGGAAACUCUUGAGCUAGAGAGUUGGAGGGGAAGUCGGAAUUCUCGGUGUAGCAGUGAAAUGCGUAGAUAUCGAGAGGAACAUCAGUGGCGAAGGCGGACUUCUGGACAACUUCUGACGCUA